ensembl:lncRNA
CUCUGCUUUGGGGUGGUGGGGUAACCUGCCUCCUGAUGAGUCUUAUGUCAGGGGUCGUGGGACAGGGAGGUCUGUGGGCUCCAUAAAGCCUUCAAUGGGCAGAACUGGGAUUCUGGAUCUCUGUGACAGCUCCUCCUGUGAGAAGCACCUCUCUGAGUUCUUGAACUCCCGUUGCUUUCUUCAUGUGGUGUGCCGCAGGAGCACACUUACUCAGAAUAAUGACAUUUCUGCUCCAAAUUAAUGUUUCACAGCUUGGAUAUUUUAGGUCCAAGAGUAUGAUGUGUGUGUGUGUGUGUGUGUAUAAACAUAUAAAUAUGUAUUGAUAAAAUCACAAUCCAGUGCUUCAGAGUAUUGCCCAGCAACAUGUACAGACAACCAGGGUCAUCUACUCAUGCAACGCAAGGGAAGGUCAUGGGCCCACCAGGGCUUCAACUCAGGUGCCUGGGUCACAGUCAUUUCUGGACUUAAAUUCCUUUUGAUGCAGGUUCGGUGAGCAGAGGAGUCGAAAGAAAGAUUUCUUGGACUCUCCAGGUCUGGCAGUAGUGCUCUUUUAUUUAGAGAAUAGUGUGGAAUAGCAUGGGGACAGGACCCUUGGGCAGUCAGAGCUACUGCUGCAAAAAUGAGUUGAGGGUGGGGCUACAUUUAAGGCAUAGGUAUGUGAGUUAUUGCUUUACAGGGCAAAGGAAAGAAUACGUAAAAAAGUUGUUAAAAUGAUAUCAGUGCCGGUAGGUUCUGGUUAUUGGGUGGUCCUAUAACUUUUAGAUAAGAAUCAAACCGGGUUAAGUAAAUGGCAGAAGCCACAGCUUAAAUAUUCUCUUCAGCUAAAGACAAAGGAGGAUGUUGGAGGGGGGUCAGUUACAUGAGGUUGCCAGACAGUAAACAACUUAACUCCCUGCCUUCCCCAUUGAGAGUUUCCAGAGAUAAGGCCAUCCCGCCUUCCUCCUGGUGCAGAGGGAGACACCCCCACAGAUGGAGACUAGCUUCACAAAUGCAAAUGUCUCUCAUCAAAGGGCAAGCAAAUUCCACUCUUCAGAGCCCCCUUCUCAUCUGCAGUUUUAAAAGUAACCAGCCUAAAAUCCUCAUCACUUUCACUGUUGACCAACACCCUGGCAUGGGAAAAUCUCAGCUUCAUUCUUAUCAGUCACCUCCAGGAGUUAAACUCUUGACGCUGGGUCUGAAAAUGGUGACUGGAGUUCCAUGAUUGGUUCAACGACUUCCACACUGCCAGCUACCUAGCUGCCCGCUCACUCAACCUCAGGGGUCCUCUUGACUGGCCAUUCCUGCAGGGCACUGUGUGACGUGCGCUGGAGAGCCUCCUGGUGCAAGGCCUACCGUGAGACUUAAUGAACAAUUACUGUCUGGCAGACCAUGUCUCACCCAGAGCCGAAGCUGGGCCAUCCUCCCUAGCCCUCCCCAGGCCCCCGGGUGGGCCUCUCAGAGUUCAGUCCUAUAGUUGUUAACUGGGUCAUGGCUAAUUGUACUUGAGUGUAGACAAGAACUCUAUCUUGUUCUUUUAUGAGAAUUCCUUCAUUCAUCAGUUCACUCAACAGUUGUUGACUGAGUGCCUGCCAUGUAUCAAAACUCCAGAACAGAUACUAUGCCUUUAAUGCAGCAUGCGGCUUAUUGUAACUUUUCGAAAGCUUUAAAACCUUUGCAGAGCAGAUGUAUAUACAUAACAUAGAAUGAUAGAAAGAUUAUCUAAAGCUUGAUAACCUGAGACCAUCCAAUAUGUUUUUAAUCAUGCAUUCGUCCGUCUCAAUUCUGUGCACAGCAGUGCAUGUGCCCUGACAGGGCAUCUGUGAUGUCUGGAGGCAAUUGGGUUGGCUCAGUGCAAGGAGGUGGAGGGUGUGGGAGACACUGUGACUGGUGUCCAGGGGCUAGAAGCCAGGGAUGCCUCCAAAUGUCCUGCAGCACACAGGACGGCCUCCACAACAGAGUUAUUCUGCCCGCAAUGUCAAACGUGCUCAGCUCAAGGAACCCUGCCUUACACUCCAGGCCAGCCUCUGAAGGUGUUUAGGAGAAGGAAAAAUGACUCCACGGUGCUGUGUGGGGUCCCCGUCUCUGCGCAGCAGUCAUGCUCCAGGGAGGGGCUCUGUGGAUCCAGAUGCAGCUGAAACAGAACAACACAAAUGGAAAACGGAGAAAAAAAAGAUUGCAAAGGAUUAAAAGUCCAUUUACUGAUAUUUUAUAUUCUACUGUGCACAGUCUUUGCAUAACAAAAUUUCAAGAACAGAGAUGGGCCCUAAAACAGCCCUCAAAAGCUGCUGCUUCAGCGUGUGACCCUCGCUGGGCUCUCCAGCACCCAUCACUGACCACGUGGCGUUUACUCUAGAGAAUCGACAUGUCUGACCGUGGUCUUCCAUCCCUCGUGGCUCUCUGGAUGCCAAAUGGCAUUGCUGGCCGGGACGGUUCUCAGUUUUUGUUUCCCGAAGCGUGUGUCUUAAAGCUGUUUCUCACACCAUUAAGUUCAAUAAGGACAAGCAAGCCAUGGACUCUGCCCUCAAGGAGCUGACGUGCUGUCAAGGGAGAGACACCUAGACAACUGGCUGAAGACAGUCAAGGAAAUGCAGCGCUCUUUGCAGAAACCCAGGGAGAAAGUUCACAAAUCUUCUGAAGGAAUUAGAAAAACUUUUGCAGAUGAGGUGACAUUAGAGUCUGCCCUUGACCAUUGAAUUUAUUCCGCAGAAAAUAUGUCAGAGGGAAAUGGGGAGAAAUUAAGAAGCAAACUCACAUGAGUCUCUGAACUAGCAAGGGCACGUAACUGGUUACCAGAAAUAAAUCAGGAGAGAAGCUCCAUCCCGGAAGGAUGGGAGCUGUGACUUAGGACAUUACAGUAGAAGGAAGGUCUCAUCCUUCUGUCAGCUCCCCAGUCUCUAACGAGUAAAAAAUCAUCAAAGAAAACAAAAAUGUUACACUCUAGCCACUAUUUGAGUAUUUAUUGUGUGCAAGGCAUAGUGCUAAUUUCUUUGCACAGGAUAUCCCAAUUGAUUCUGUCAACAGCUCGUACAGUUGGGUAUUAUUAUUUCCACUUUAUAGCUGGAAAAAACAAAGAUUAGCAAAGGCUAAAUAAACUUCCUGAGGUCACUUGGCUGGUGGGUGGUAUAAGAGGAUCAAAUCCAUGCUGUCUAACCCAAAGUUCACGCCUGCCCUCAGCCAGCACCUCCCACUAUCUCCAUCACACAGGGGUGUGCGGGGAAGAACAUCAAGAACCCAGGUGUAUCUGGUCCCUCACGUCCAGGAGGAAGACUCAGGGUGGGGGAGCCAGGAAGGAAUCUGCAGAGACUGAGUUCAGAGCACUCGCCUCGUCAGUGUUUUCAAAGUGACAGAGACCACCAAAUGCCAGUCUUCCCUCUGAGAAAGCUAUGACUUUAGCAAAGCCGGAGUUCAGUGUCACAGCCCAGGAGCCUAUCACUGUUCAAGUCUUUUCGUUAGAGCUCAAGGACAGUCUUCUGACAUUCACUUUCCUUGGUGUGUGACCACUAAAUCCUGGCUUACACACACGGAAGCCAAUGUUCCUGGUCUCUACCUUUAACUCUCCGCUGAUUUUGUUACUUUCUUCUGUUUUUAGUGCUUGGGCUUUACAUCCAACCUGGAACUCUCCACUGCUCCACUGUCCGUAACUGCAGAUUGCACUGCUGGGGAAACGUGAGGUGAUGGGGGUGAGAGACUGUCAAUUUGGCUGAGUGUUCCUGCUAGAUAACCAAAGGGAGAAGGUGUGCUGCCAGCCACGGUCUUUCUGCAUUUCCGUGGCCCACAGGCUGCAGGAAAGAAGUGUCUGGCAGACUCUCUGGUAAGUGAGGCAAAUGUGUGGUCACAGAAGGCCAGGUGGGGACUGGCCAAAGGCCUGGCUUCUGAGAUUGAUCAAAGCUAGUCUAUAAGAGGUGAUUCUUGUUCCUUCCUGAAACUUACUCAGAAACGCAUCCAGGGGCUGGCCCAGUGGCGCAGUGGUAAAGUUUGCACAUUCCGCUUCUCGGUGGCCCGGGGUUCACCGGUUCGAAUCCCGGGUGCGGACAUGGCACCGCUUGGCACGCCAUGCUGUGGUAGGCAUCCCACACAUAAAGUAGAGGAAGAUGG